GGCGGUUAAUUUCGUUUAUGGCGAAUGAUGAAGUUCUGACACGCUACAGCUUGGUGCUUUAUUUUGAAGACCACCGUUUUCUUCUUCUUCUACUUCCUGUGCUGCCGACGUUAGACAUUACGCUCCUGUCUUGUCGCAACGACAUGUUCACGUCACGCACGAGCUGGACUGUCCCUGUGAGAUGUGUGUGGAAGAUAGGCUGCUAGCAAACGGAGCUCAAACUUAGCGCCCUUGGAAGCAGAAGGAGUUUUCACGGUGUCAAAUGUCAGUCAGUCAAAAGGGGAGGAGAGAAAUUAAAGCUGCACCAGUCGAAGCUCUCUGCAUCUUGCUUUAUUAUUCCAAGCGGGUCGCUACAGUGAAAACUCCUUUCCGGCUACGAGAGACCUGCCAUCCCUGCAGAGAAGCUGAUGCCACCUCAUCUGAGAUCCAGCUACCAAACGGAUACCAGCCUGCUGAUUCCGCUCACGUCGAUAUCCUGCACAGGCAAAAUCAAAAAGGACGGCACACUGAAGGUACAACUACGGAUGCUAAAGGGACUUUGAGUGCCAAGGAGCAAAGAGGACGAUUUACAUACGCACGCACAAGCUUAAAGCAUAACUGAAAUGCCUUAUAUCGUUUCGAGGUCGAAAUUAAUUUGAGAGUUGAUUUCUAAGAUAUAACAGUGCUGAGGUGAUGAAUAUUUCAGGACAAAUGGAAUGUGUUUAGGGAUAAUAAUUCAUGAUAUUUCUGUUUAUGAAAGGGUUAAAAAGGAGUGAAGCUCUUUGCUAUUAAUACCAGCAACACUCAUUUACGACACUUGUUACUGUUUCAUGCUAAGAAUCCCUUUGAAUGUCCAUCAUCUGUGAAUGCUUGAUUAUAGAUAUUACUCUGUGGUAAAGGAUAGCUACAGCUCAUAGGUGUGAAUUCAGGCAUAGGACAAUCAAAGCCACGUCAGACUUGAAACAGUCGCACAAACAAACAAGAUGUCACUCCCACCAGAAGAAACAGACAAUC